GACGAACGCUGGCGGCGUGCCUAAUACAUGCAAGUCGAGCGGAUGGAAGGAAGCUUGCUUCCUAAAGUCAGCGGCGGACGGGUGAGUAACACGUGGGCAACCUGCCCCUAAGAUCGGGAUAACUUCGGGAAACCGGAGCUAAUACCGGAUAUGAUUAUGUCUCACAUGAGACAUAAUGGAAAGACGGUUUCGGCUGUCACUUAGGGAUGGGCCGGCGGCGCAUUAGCUAGUUGGUGAGGUAACGGCUCACCAAGGCGACGAUGCGUAGCCGACCUGAGAGGGUGAUCGGCCACACUGGGACUGAGACACGGCCCAGACUCCUACGGGAGGCAGCAGUAGGGAAUCUUCCGCAAUGGACGAAAGUCUGACGGAGCAACGCCGCGUGAGUGAAGAAGGUUUUCGGAUCGUAAAACUCUGUUGUUAGGGAAGAACAAGUACCAUAGUAACUGAUGGUACCUUGACGGUACCUAACCAGAAAGCCACGGCUAACUACGUGCCAGCAGCCGCCGUAACAC
rnacentral:rRNA from 1 species